CGGUGCCCAAAAUCAUGGAAUUUCCAAGCUAUAUGUAUGUCUAUCUAUGCAUACAAUUAGAGUCCUCAUAUUGAAAAUUUUGUGUAUGAAAUGCUGAUUUGCGACAAUCUGUGUAAUAUCUCCAGAGAAGUGGCUGGCUGGUUUGAUAUCAUAACCACAUCUCACUAUUCUACUGCUCCACCUCGCCGAAAUUGCUCCUCCUUUCUGGUCCGACUUAAGUGGAAGAUUGUUCACCAAAGUGGGCCUUCGUGUGUUAUAAACUUAUGGCGUCUGCUAUGCACACCAAGUGUUUGCGAAAAUGCUUGUCUGAUUGUUUGUGUGGUGAUUUAGCUCCAUUUCAAUUCUUGUGCUUCUAUUGAUUCAUGUGUGCUAGUGUUGCUUUCUUGCUGCUUAGCAAUAAAGGAAAAAGAAAACCGCAAAGAAAAAAAAAAAAAAAAAAAGAGUGAUUCUUAUUGGAGCUCUUCUCGUUGUUGUGCAACCUUUGGUCCUGGUGGUGCUUUGUUCUAGUUCCAAUCGAGAGCUCUGUAGCUUCUUUUUGGUUUUUUCUUAGCUUAAUAUGUUGUGCACCAAGGUGCACACCAAGUGUUUGUGAAAAUGCUUGUAUGAACAUUUUACUGCAUUUCAAUUGUUAUGCUUGUGUGGAGUUGCGUGUA